UACAUUGACGACGGGGAUAAUGAAAAGAGAUGAAAUCAAAAUUUGGAGCUAGGGCUUGUAUCUCCAUCAACCAGCUACCCUCUUCCCCCAUGGUUCGUAAAUCUCCUUGGAUUAAACGGAUUGCCAUCAAAGAAUCCGACUCCACUUCAAUGCAUGGGUAAGCCGAUGAAGCAGCAAAUCUCAAGCCUUCCAAUAUUYCACGAAUUUCAACAAAUAGAGGCGACAACUUGUAAGGGAGACACGUUGAUUUUGCGGCAACGAGAGUACCGGAAGAAUCUCGGAUGAUACAUCCGAGACUUAUUGAAUCACUCCUACAAGCAGCAUUUGUAUUUAAUUUUAGAGAUAGAUUUGAUGGAGGACUCCAUKGAUGAGCAAUCGAAGAAGACGUCUGAUUUCGAGGAGGGGAUGUUUGAUUUCCACGAGUUGCAGAGUUUCGGUCGUUCCAUAUAGCCAAACAGUCUGCAGGAAAUCGAGAUAGAGAKGGGUAGAGAAUCUGCCAAAUUUUUUGCACUCGCUUACAAUGGUAGAAAGAAUGGGUGGUAGUUUUGCUUGAAGCUCUGCAGAGUUUGCAAACAGGUAAAGCAUCGAUUCCUCUGUUGUGCAAAUUGUAGGCUGUUGGAAUGUGUUCAUGAGYAGCUCUCCAUAUAAAAAUCUUUAUUUUUGAAGGAACAGAGAGGUUCCAAAUAGAUUUCCAAUGUGCACCUUGAAAAUCAUGACUAGUUGAUGCUACAUUACAUUUUA